rnacentral:lncRNA from 1 species
AAAGCUCAACUUACUUAACUUACUUUCUUCAGCAAUGUGUCUUUCAGAUCCUUCUUUAUUUUUGCGUAGCUGAGGCCAUUUCUGAAGCCAAAAAGAAAAAAAGAAAAAGAAAAACAACAACAACAAAAAAAACCAGCUGACACGACCGUACAGUAUAAAUAAAAACGAAGAAACUUUAUGUUGGAUCAAGUUGAUAAAUUACUGUUCAACCAGCAGCCUCUCUAGCAAGGGCAGCUAUCUGAGCUGAAGACACCUGGACUGCUCUCUGACUCAACUCUUACGAGUUCUGCUCAUACCACCGAGUCAAGGCUUUAACAGUAUUUGCA